rnacentral:rRNA from 1 species
AUUGAACGCUGGCGGCAUGCCUUACACAUGCAAGUCGAACGGCAGCACGGGAGCAAUCCUGGUGGCGAGUGGCGAACGGGUGAGUAAAGCAUCGGAACGUACCUGGUAGUGGGGGAUAGCCCGGCGAAAGCCGGAUUAAUACCGCAUACGACCUGAGGGUGAAAGCGGGGGAUCGCAAGACCUCGCGCUAUUGGAGCGGCCGAUGUCAGAUUAGCGAGUUGGUGGGGUAAAGGCCUACCAAGGCGACGAUCUGUAGCUGGUCUGAGAGGACGACCAGCCACACUGGGAAGGAGACACGGCCCAGACUCCUACGGGAGGCAGCAGUGGGGAAUUUUGGACAAUGGGCGCAAGCCUGAUCCAGCCAUGCCGCGUGCGGGAAGAAGGCCUUCGGGUUGUAAACCGCUUUUGUCAGGGAAGAAAUCUUCUGGGUUAAUACCUCGGGAGGAUGACGGUACCUGAAGAAUAAGCACCGGCUAACUCCGUGCCAGCAGCCGCCGUAAAAC